rnacentral:rRNA from 1 species
UGGGGAAUAUUGGACAAUGGACCGAGAGUCUGAUCCAGCAAUUCUGUGUGCACGAUGAAGUUUUUCGGAAUGUAAAGUGCUUUCAGUUGGGAAGAAAUAAAUGACGGUACCAACAGAAGAAGUGACGGCUAAAUACGUGCCAGCAGCCGCGGUAAUACGUAUGUCACGAGCGUUAUCCGGAUUUAUUGGGCGUAAAGCGCGUCUAGGUGGUUAUGUAAGUCUGAUGUGAAAAUGCAGGGCUCAACUCUGUAUUGCGUUGGAAACUGUGUAACUAGAGUACUGGGGAGGUAAGCGGAACUACAAGUGUAGAGGUGAAAUUCGUAGAUAUUUGUAGGAAUGCCGAUGGGGAAGCCAGCUUACUGGACAGAUACUGACGCUAAAGCGCGAAAGCGUGGGUAGCAAACAGGAUUAGAUACCCUGGUAGUCCACGCUGUAAACGAUGAUUACUAGGUGUUGGGAGUCGAACCUCAGCGCCCAAGCAAACGCGAUAAGUAAUCCGCCUGGGGAGUACGUACGCAAGUAUG